AAGUCGUAACAAGGUUUUCCUUCCGGGUGACACUGUCACUCCCUACUGAAGCCUCACGUGGCGACUAUAAACAACCACGGAGUCGUGCCUUCUGGGCAGGACAAUACCGCUGAAUUGCUGCAAUCAACUAUCGUUGUACCAGCAGCCCCUCCCCGGGGGCCCACAGAUCAAGCCGCGGUGGUUUUACCUCGAAUCGCGAGGUGAAGCUAUAAUAUGACCGGUCUCCGCCUGUGACGGCUGAGAAUUAACGUUCCGUAGGUGAACCUGCGGAAGGAUCAUUACCGAGUUAGGGUCUCUCAGGCCCGACCUCCAACCCUGUGUAUAUUCUACCCUGUUGCUUUGGCGGGCCCGCCUUAUAGGGGCCGUCGGGGGUUAUCUGACCCUUGAUCAGUGCCCGCCAGUAGCCUUCAAAAACUCUUGUAUAACUGUGUCGUCUGAGUACUAAUUAAAAUCGUUAAAACUUUCAACAACGGAUCUCUUGGUUCUGGCAUCGAUGAAGAACGCAGCGAAAUGCGAUAAGUAACGCGAAUUGCAGAAUUCAGUGAGUCAUCGAAUCUUUGAACGCAUAUUGCGCCCUUUGGCAUUCCGAAGGGCAUGCCUGUUCGAGCGUCAUUAUCAACCAUCAAGCACGGCUUGUCGUUGGACUCUUGUCGCUGUAACACGCGACAGGUCCGAAAGAUAAUGACGGGUGUCGUGUUGGACCCUCGAUGCAACGAGCUCUUUGUAGCACGCAUCGAACGUGGUCUGCCGCCCCGGUCUACACCUCUAUUUUCUUCAGGUUGACCUCGGAUCAGGUAGGAAUACCCGCUGAACUUAAGCAUAUCAAUAAGCGGAGGAAAAGAAACCAACAGGGAUUACCCUAGUAACGGCGAGUGAAGCGGUAACAGCUCAAAUUUGAAAUCUGGCCUUCACGGGUCCGAGUUGUAAUUUGUAGAGGAUUUUUCGGGCAAGGCUGCGGUGUAAGUUUCUUGGAACAGAACGUCAGAGAGGGUGAGAAUCCCGUCUAGCACCGAUGGCCGCGUCCAGGUGAAAGUCCUUCGACGAGUCGAGUUGUUUGGGAAUGCAGCUCAAAAUGGGUGGUAAAUUUCAUCUAAAGCUAAAUAAUGGCCAGAGACCGAUAGCGCACAAGUAGAGUGAUCGAAAGAUGAAAAGCACUUUGAAAAGAGAGUUAAACAGUAUGUGAAAUUGUUGAAAGGGAAGCGCUUGCAACCAGACUUGUGUGUCGCGGUUCCCCCCGUCUUCUGAUGGGGUUAUUCCGUGAUAUCCAGGCCAGCAUCGGUUCGGGUGGUUGGUGAAAGGUUCUGAGAAUGUAUCUACCUUCGGGUCGACUUAUAGCUCAGGGCGGAAUGCGGCCUACCUGGACCGAGGAACGCGCGUAUGCUCGGAUGCUGGCGUAAUGGUUGUAAGCGGCC
rnacentral:rRNA from 1 species